rnacentral:rRNA from 1 species
GACGAACGCUGGCGGCGUGCUUAACACAUGCAAGUCGAACGGUGAAGGGACCAGCUUGCUGGUUCUGGAUGAGUGGCGAACGGGUGAGUAACACGUGAGUAACCUGCCCCCUUCUUCUGGAUAACCGCAUGAAAGUGUGGCUAAUACGGGAUAUUCUGGGUCUGUCGCAUGGCGGGCCCGGGAAAGAUAUUGCUUCGGUGGGGGAUGGGCUCGCGGCCUAUCGGCUUGUUGGUGGGGUGAUGGCCUACCAAGGCGGGGACGGGUAGCCGGCCUGAGAGGGUGGACGGUCACACUGGGACUGAGACACGGCCCAGACUCCUACGGGAGGCAGCAGUGGGGAAUAUUGCACAAUGGGCGCAAGCCUGAUGCAGCGACGCCGCGUGAGGGAUGGAGGCCUUCGGGUUGUAAACCUCUUUCGCCAGUGAAGCAGGCCUGCUCCUUGUGGGUGGGUUGACGGUAGCUGGAUAAGAAGCGCCGGCUAACUACGUG